CAGGCCUAACACAUGCAAGUCGAACGGAAAGGCCCUGCUUUUGUGGGGUGCUCGAGUGGCGAACGGGUGAGUAACACGUGAGUAACCUGCCCUUGACUUUGGGAUAACUUCAGGAAACUGGGGCUAAUACCGGAUAGGAGCUCCUGCUGCAUGGUGGGGGUUGGAAAGUUUCGGCGGUUGGGGAUGGACUCGCGGCUUAUCAGCUUGUUGGUGGGGUAGUGGCUUACCAAGGCUUUGACGGGUAGCCGGCCUGAGAGGGUGACCGGCCACAUUGGGACUGAGAUACGGCCCAGACUCCUACGGGAGGCAGCAGUGGGGAAUAUUGCACAAUGGGCGGAAGCCUGAUGCAGCAACGCCGCGUGCGGGAUGACGGCCUUCGGGUUGUAAACCGCUUUCGCCUGUGACGAAGCGUGAGUGACGGUAAUGGGUAAAGAAGCACCGGCUAACUACGUGCCAGCAGCCGCGGUGAUACGUAGGGUGCGAGCGUUGUCCGGAUUUAUUGGGCGUAAAGGGCUCGUAGGUGGUUGAUCGCGUCGGAAGUGUAAUCUUGGGGCUUAACCCUGAGCGUGCUUUCGAUACGGGUUGACUUGAGGAAGGUAGGGGAGAAUGGAAUUCCUGGUGGAGCGGUGGAAUGCGCAGAUAUCAGGAGGAACACCAGUGGCGAAGGCGGUUUUCUGGGCCUUUCCUGACGCUGAGGAGCGAAAGCGUGGGGAGCGAACAGGCUUAGAUACCCUGGUAGUCCACGCUGUA
rnacentral:rRNA from 1 species